CCAAUAGCGUAUAUUAAAGUUGUUGCAGUUAAAAAGCUCGUAGUUGAAUUUCGGGGUUAGUAGGUUGGUCCUGCCUCUGGUAUGUACUGGUCUCACUGAUUCCUCCUUCCUGAUGAGCCGUAAUGCCAUUAAUUUGGUGUUGCGGGGAAUUUGGACUGUUACUUUGAAAAAAUUAGAGUGUUUAAAGCAAGCUAACGCUUGAAUACAUUAGCAUGGAAUAAUGAAAUGGGACGUUCGAUCCUAUUUUGUUGGUUUCUAGGAUUGACGUAAUGAUUAAUAGGGAUAGUUGGGGGCAUUAGUAUUCAAUUGUCAGAGGUGAAAUUCUUGGAUUUAUUGAAGACUAACUACUGCGAAAGCAUUUGCCAAGGAUGUUUUCAUUAAUCAAGAACGAAAGUUAGGGGAUCGAAGACGAUCAGAUACCGUCGUAGUCUUAACCAUAAACUAUGCCGACUAGGGAUCGGAUGAUGUUAAUUUUUUAAUGACUCAUUCGGCGCCUUACG
rnacentral:misc_RNA from 1 species